GGGCUCAUAGCUUAGUUGGUAGAGCAUACGAUUCGCAUUCGUAAUACAUGGGUUCGAUUCCCAUUGGGUCCA
rnacentral:tRNA from 1 species